rnacentral:rRNA from 1 species
UACGAAGGGGGCUAGCGUUGCUCGGAAUUACUGGGCGUAAAGCGCACGUAGGCGGCUUCUUAAGUCGGUGGUGAAAUCCUGGAGCUCAACUCCAGAACUGCCUUCGAUACUGGCGAUCUCGAGUUCGGGAGAGGUGAGUGGAACUGCGAGUGUAGAGGUGAAAUUCGUAGAUAUUCGCAAGAACACCAGUGGCGAAGGCGGACUCACUGGCCCGAUACUGACGCUGACGGUGCGAAAGCGAGGGGAGCGACGAGGAA